AGCAUUCGCCGCGGUAAUACGAAGGGUGCAAGCGUUAAUCGGAAUUACUGGGCGUAAAGCGUGCGUAGGCGGUUUGUUAAGUCUGCUGUGAAAUCCCCGGGCUCAACCUGGGAAUGGCAGUGGAUACUGGCAAGCUAGAAUGUGUCAGAGGAUGGUGGAAUUCCCGGUGUAGCGGUGAAAUGCGUAGAGAUCGGGAGGAACAUCAGUGGCGAAGGCGGCCAUCUGGGACAACACUGACGCUGAGGCACGAAAGCGUGGGGAGCAAACAGGAUUAGAUACCCCUGUAGUCCCUGUCUCUUAUAA
rnacentral:rRNA from 1 species